CAGAGUCCCACACAGUCAAGGACCUGUGCAGACUGCUGUAAGACAGACUCUGGAUCAGCACAACACGGACAACUUUCUCCCCUGUGAUUUUCCAAGAGGAUCUGCACGUUUGGAUUAUAUUCUUCUAGGGCUAUUAAAUAUACAUACAAAAAAGUCGUAAUUUUGUUUAAUUCUGACAGCUGCGCUUCUUUUUAUAUAGAUAUUUCUAUUUAUAUAUAUAUAUUUCUGAGGUGAGGUUUGAAGCCUGUUGGUUGAGAGGGUGAAGGACAAGUGCAAUGCGCUUCAGACUCGUCUCUUGGGAUUGUCCCACUUGCGCCUGAGGAGCUAUGCCGAGCCGACACGCAGAUCUUGUUCAAGAGGACGCAGUCCGAUGUGAAUAAGUCCACUAACAGCCUCUUCAGCUUUUCACAGUUGAGAAGCAAGUGCAGCACGUAGUCUGACUGAGCCCGCUGUGCAGCUCUGACACUCCGGUUUCUCUCCCCGAGGGGAUGGUUGUGGAUCCUGCGGGGCCAGGAGCGAUUCUGCGGCUCCUACAGAACAGCACCUUUUUCUUGUUCGGGGUUAAAUCGAAAUUAAAGGGAAAUGAGAGCCGCACUUUGUUACUUCCUGCUGUGGACGACGUACCUGCUGCUGGCCACCUCUGAGGAAGUGGAGUUUCCCCAGGAGCUGAUAGACAGACUGUCCCACAGUGAAAUCCACAGCAUCAGCGACCUCCAGCGGCUAUUGGACAUUGACUCCGUAGGUACGGGAAACAAUGUCAUCGAGGAGCCCAAACACCACAAGCACCACAACCACCAUAAGAACUACUCCCAUCAUCAUGGUUACUACAAUGACCUGAAGAGCUCCCAGCUCCACAGCCGACGCAAGAGGAGCAUUGUAGAGGAGGCGGUCCCGGCGGUGUGUAAGACGCGAACGGUGAUCUACGAGAUCCCCAGGAGCCAGGUGGAUCCCACAUCUGCCAACUUCCUGAUAUGGCCGCCCUGUGUGGAGGUGAAGCGCUGCACGGGCUGCUGCAACACAAGCAACAUGCGCUGCCACCCUUCCCGCAAGCACCACCGCACCGUUAAGGUGGCAAAGGUGGAGUACGUGAGGAGGAGACCCAAGCUGAAAGAGGUCUUUGUGCGGUUAGAAGACCACCUUGAGUGCGUGUGCACGUCACAACAUCAUGUGGUGGAGCAAUCAGAUGCAGAAACAGGCCACCAUAGGGCUAAAGGUAAAAAAAGGAAGCCUAAAAAGCUAAGGCGCAGCAAGGAUUUAUUGGCAACAUAAUAAAGUUGCAUUCAUUACCCAAAGUCCACUGGAGAGCUGUGAAGGGAACAGUGGACGUGAGGUGAGACCAAUCAGAACAAGGGACUUCAGCGUGGGAGGGACCGAAAUAGAGGAUGCCACCAACAGGAGACCUGCUCUGUCCUCCUCCCCACUGCCAUGCCACCUUCAUUCUUUUAAAAAGACUUUUCUCUUAAGAUGAGAGACUUACAAAAAAAAAAAGACAGACAACAAUAAAUAAGAUGCCAAAGGUGCUUUUUUCAAAACAGUAACCAGUGAUGAUGACUUCCUCUGUGGUGCGCCACCCACCCAGACAACUACACCCUGCUGCCGAUUAAGAGGAAUAAGAUGCUGUAGAGCUCGGGCAGGGCGGAAAGAGGCCGAAGGGAGAUGAUGAAAGGGAUUUGUGUUGAACAUUUUGACAGACUUUGUUUGAACAAGAUGCACAACAGAAACAGCUAUGAAACAGCUGGAUCAAGCUUUCGUGGGAAUCUGGUGCUUAGACUCCGAAACAGCGGUGGACGACCUCCAGCUGGGCAACAUAAAAGUGCCCUGCCCUGUUUAAAUGACUCUUGCAUACACAGGAAGAAAGAGAGAUAUAGGAAAAGCAAUGGAAAGACAGAGAGAGAGAGAGAGACAAAUGGAGAUAUGAUUUUUUUUUUGUCAAAAGACUAUGGAGUAUCAAACAUUUUGAGCUUUUGGAUGUUUGCUCUGAGUAAAGAGGAAAUCUUCUCUGAGACCUCUGGUGGUCUGUGACUUUGCCCACUUGCUAUGUACAGUUUGAUUUGAAAAGGAAGAUGCGCCGCUACUUACAAACUAUUUAUAUGUGUGGACGUUUGCUUUUUGUCUCUUCCAGUACAAAAGAAACAACAAAAAAGGAUGUUCUAACGAUCUUGGAGACAUGCGAGAGUUCUGUGUGGUUCGGUUCUUUGUUACCAUCAGAAUCACAAUCUCAAUUUUUUUUUUUUUUUUAGUCAAUGUUAUUGAUGUUUCUUAUUAUAUUACAGUAUAUCUGAAUGAUGUCAAGUCUUGUAUAUGGUUUGGAUAUAUGUGUGCAAGGAGGAUUUGUGAGAGUCAGUACAGGAAGAUGCUUUAUUUUUGUUAUGAAAUAUAUUAAGCUUACUUAUAUCCAAGCAGGAAUUAUGUUUAUUUCUGUUGUUGUGGUUGAAUGUCUGUAUUUAAUCCAUUGGAAAAGAUGCAAAAAUGUGGGCAGGGGGUGCAGAGAGAAAAGUGAGUUGCUAUGGUGUAGUUUAUUCUGUUGCCAUGACAAGCAUUGCCAACAGUUAACAAGUGGCAUUUCACAAAAACAUGCAAACAGCACGUCAAUGUGUCUUCAUGCCAAUAACACACAACGUGAUUUCUCUCCUACGUGAGGCUUUUUCAACUAUAUCACUUGCAACAUUGAUAAGGAAGAUGCCUGCCCACUCUGCCUCACAAGCACACAUGUUGUGCCUGCAAAGAGCAAAGUCCACUUUAAACAGUGAAUGAGCGAGCAAAGCAAAUCGACAAGUGCAUGAAUGGGCUCCUUGUUUGGCCAGGCUCUACUCGUCUGUUGACAGGAGAACAAAUCUCUGUUCACUCCACCCCUGUGAAGGUCCACACACCUUAUGCAGCCGCAUACCAUCAGGACAGAUGAUGAUGAGUGCUACGAGGAGGCCUGAAAACAGUACAGCGCUAGCCUGAACCCGUGCCCCCGAUGGAACAAACAAUUACUUCCUUACCAGUUCCUGUAACACAGUGAUGAAUGUGUAACCAGGCCAACGCAGAGCAAAAACAACAACCGUCUUGCCGCCUGUGUUCAAAUGAGGAAGUCAAAGGCGAAAGAGUGAAUCACUGUGACACUGUGAAGUGAGUCAGGUGAAAUCAAAUGAGAAAAGUUAGAUUAAAAUAUGGCAAAACACAAACACACACAUACACACACACACACACA